UACGUAGGGUGCAAGCGUUGUCCGGAAUUAUUGGGCGUAAAGAGCUCGUAGGCGGUCUGUUGCGUCCGCUGUGAAAACUCGGGGCUUAACCCCGAGCCUGCAGUGGAUACGGGCAGACUAGAGGUAGGUAGGGGAGAAUGGAAUUCCCGGUGUAGCGGUGAAAUGCGCAGAUAUCGGGAGGAACACCAGUGGCGAAGGCGACUUCCUGGCCUGUUCUUGACGCUGAGGCGCGAAAGCUAGGGGAGCAAACGGG
rnacentral:rRNA from 1 species